AGGUUGCCGUACGUUGAUUUGAACCUCGAAUCGUGAGUUCGGUGGAUUUCCCUUGGUCCCGGACCAAGUGGGCUUGAGGCAUUUCUGCUGUAUAAAGAGCUCGGAGAAUAUAUUACUGGGAGCUAAGUGAAGAGAACUAUACAGGAGGUAGCAGUGGUGCAGGAGCGGCGGGCAAGAAGCCCGUAGGAUGAUUGCCGGAGUAUCAUUAGUAUUUUGCAUUUUGAUGGCCAUUGGGCCUAGGCUAGACUUAGGGCAUGAACAUUAUAUAUAUGUUGUUAGGAUGAGAUUUAUGGUCAUAUUUGUUCAUGCUAUUUUUGCCUAAGUCUAGUUGUAUUUGGAUUAUGUCAUUUUGAGAUUUCUUUAUCAUGCAUUAUUUGGAGAUUAAAGUUGUAAUUGUAAUAUGUCAUGGGAAGUCUGGUAAAUUGUA